GAUGAACGCUGGCGGCAUGCCUAACACAUGCAAGUCGAUCGGUAAGGCUCUUCGGAGUACACGAGAGGCGGACGGCUGAGUAACGCGUAGGAACACACCCUGCAGUGAGGGAUAAGACACCGAAAGGUGUUCUAAUACCGCAUACGGUCUUCGGAUUAAAGCAUUUAUGCGCUGAAGGAGUGGCCUGCGUCAUAUUAGAUAGUUGGGGAGGUAAUGGCUCACCAAGUCGAUGAUGUGUAGCUUGUCUGAGAGGAUGAUCAGCCAGUCUGGAACUGAGACACGGUCCAGACUCCUACGGGAGGCAGCAGUGAGGAAUAUUGCACAAUGAGCGAAAGCUUGAUGGAGCAAUGCUGCGUGCAGGAUGAAGGCCCUCGGGUUGUAAACUGCUUUUAUAAGAGAAGAUUAUGACGGUAACUUAUGAAUAAGGGACGGCUAACUACGUG
rnacentral:rRNA from 1 species